UACAGAGGGUGCAAACGUUGUUCGGAAUCAUUGGGCGUAAAGCGCGUGUAGGCGGUCCGGUAAGUCCGCUGUGAAAGUCGGGGGCUCAACCCUCGGAUGCCGGUGGAUACUGUCGGGCUUGAGUACGGAAGAGGCGAGUGGAAUUCCUGGUGUAGCGGUGAAAUGCGCAGAUAUCAGGAGGAACACCAAUUGCGAAGGCAGCUCGCUGGGACGUUACUGACGCUGAGACGCGAAAGCGUGGGGAGCAAACAGG
rnacentral:rRNA from 1 species